rnacentral:rRNA from 1 species
GACGAACGCUGGUUGCGUGCUUAACACAUGCAAGUCGAACGGAAAGGCCCUGCUUUUGUGGGGUGCUCGAGUGGCGAACGGGUGAGUAACACGUGAGUAACCUGCCCUUGACUUUGGGAUAACUUCAGGAAACUGGGGCUAAUACCGGAUAGGAGCUCCUGCUGCAUGGUGGGGGUUGGAAAGUUUCGGCGGUUGGGGAUGGACUCGCGGCUUAUCAGCUUGUUGGUGGGGUAGUGGCUUACCAAGGCUUUGACGGGUAGCCGGCCUGAGAGGGUGACCGGCCACAUUGGGACUGAGAUACGGCCCAGACUCCUACGGGAGGCAGCAGUGGGGAAUAUUGCACAAUGGGCGGAAGCCUGAUGGGGGGGCGCCGCGUGCGGGAUGACGGCCUUCGGGUUGUAAACCGCUUUCGCCUGUGACGAAGCGUGAGUGACGGUAAUGGGUAAAAGAAGCACCGGCUAACUACGUGCCAGCAGCCGUGGUGAUACGUAGGGUGCGAGCGUUGUCCGGAUUUAUUGGGCGUACAGGGCUCGUAGGUGGUUGAUCGCGUCGGAAGUGUAAUCUUGGGGCUAACCCUGAGCGUGCUUUCGAUACGGGUUGACUUGAGGAAGGUAGGGGAGAAUGGAAUUCCUGGUGGAGCGGUGGAAUGCGCAGAUAUCAGGAGGAACACCAGUGGCGAAGGCGGUUCUCUGGGCCUUUCCUGACGCUGAGGAGCGAAAGCGUGGGGAGCGAACAGGCUUAGAUACCCUGGUAGUCCACGCUGUAAACGGUGGGUACUAGGUGUGGGGUCCAUUCCACGGGUUCCGUGCCGUAGCUAACGCUUUAAGUACCCCGCCUGGGGAGUACGGCCGCAAGGCUAAAACUCAAAGGAAUUGACGGGGCCCCGCACAAGCGGCGGAGCAUGCGGAUUAAUUCGAUGCAACGCGUAGAACCUUACCUGGGUUUGACAUGGAUCGGGAGUGCUCAGAGAUGGGUGUGCCUCUUUUGGGGUCGGUUCACAGGUGGUGCAUGGCUGUCGUCAGCUCGUGUCGUGAGAUGUUGGGUUAAGUCCCGCAACGAGCGCAACCCUUGUUCACUGUUGCCAGCACGUUAUGGUGGGGACUCAGUGGAGACCGCCGGGGUCAACUCGGAGGAAGGUGGGGAUGACGUCAAGUCAUCAUGCCCCUUAUGUCCAGGGCUUCACGCAUGCUACAAUGGCUGGUACAGAGAGUGGCGAGCCUGUGAGGGUGAGCGAAUCUCGGAAAGCCGGUCUCAGUUCGGAUUGGGGUGUGCAACUGAGCCCUCAUGAAUUCGGGAGUCGCUAUGUAUCCGCAAUCAGCAACUCUUGCGGGUGAAUACUUUCCGGGCCU